CUUGGAGUAGCUCAGUGGUAGAGCACCCGGCUAGGGACCGGGAGGGCGCGAGUUCGAUCCUCGCCUCCAGGUCCA
rnacentral:tRNA from 1 species